rnacentral:rRNA from 1 species
AGCGUAGGCGGUUAUGUAAGACAGAUGUGAAAUCCCCGGGCUCAACCUGGGAACUGCAUUUGUGACUGCAUGGCUAGAGUACGGUAGAGGGGGAUGGAAUUCCGCGUGUAGCAGUGAAAUGCGUAGAUAUGCGGAGGAACACCGAUGGCGAAGGCAAUCCCCUGGACCUGUACUGACGCUCAUGCACGAAAGCGUAGGGAGCAAACA